rnacentral:rRNA from 1 species
GAUGAACGCUAGCGACAGGCUUAACACAUGCAAGUCGAGGGGCAGCGGGGUGUGGCAACACACUGCCGGCGACCGGCGCACGGGUGAGUAACGCGUAUGCAACUUGCCUAUCAGAGGGGGAUAACCCGGCGAAAGUCGGACUAAUACCGCAUAAAACAGGGGUCCCGCAUGGGGAUCUUUGUUAAAGAUUCAUCGCUGAUAGAUAGGCAUGCGUUCCAUUAGGCAGUUGGCGGGGUAACGGCCCACCAAACCGACGAUGGAUAGGGGUUCUGAGAGGAAGGUCCCCCACAUUGGUACUGAGACACGGAUCAAACUCCUACGGGAGGCAGCAGUGAGGAAUAUUGGUCAAUGGCCGGGAGGCUGAACCAGCCAAGUCGCGUGAAGGAUGAAGGUCCUAUGGAUUGUAAACUUCUUUUGUGCGGGAAUAAAGUCGGGGAUGCGUCCCCGUUUGCAUGUACCGUACGAAUAAGCAUCGGCUAACUCCGUGCCAGCCGCCGCAGUAA